CAUCUUCUACAUUUUGGUAGAAUAGGGAGGAGACGCACAGAUGGGUUCAUAUCCCUCUCCCAGGUAUGUGCAGAUUCUAAGUAGGAUUUGAACCCAGCCUAUUCUUGGUAACUUGGAUCUUCUGCUUUUCUGUAUUGUCUCAUCUGAAUAAAGGUAUCUGCCUAGACAAACAAAUCUUCCUAGAACCCAGAUCUAAUUCAGGUAGCAUUGAAAAGCAGUCGGUGAAAACUAGGAUCAAAAGUUUAAACUGAAUAAGUUUUUACUAAUUUCUCUGUGGUCUUCUGCCAGCAAGAUGUCAAGCACUGUCUUUAUUAUAAUACAUUUCUACCUUGCAGGUUUGGCUGGCCGCAUCAGGAGCUGGGUAGUAAAAAAAUGGAGGCAUAGGAAAUGUUGCCACAUUGAAAAUGAAGCUCCUGUUCAAGACCCAAAGGGGUGCACAAGUCAAAAGCUUCAGGAGGAGACAUCACCUGACUUAGUAAGAUGCAUUUUUUUGUCUUGAAGAGAAAUGUCUUUUUCCGGGGCUUCCAGAAUAUCAAGUGAAUUUUAUUUUUGACUGCCAUUGUGAAUCAGGCCUCAGCUGUCAUGAACUCUAGCUACCAGUCACUGUAAUGUAUGACCAACUGAGGCCUGAUUAAUGAUGUCAGUCAAAAGAUGGCAUCACUUACAAACUAGUAGUGAGCAUAUUUCUCAGUAGCAACAUUUUCUUCCUGAAAAUAAUUUUGUAUUUGGCAGCCAACAUGGACUUGCUAAACAUUCCAUGAAAACCCACUGCCUUGGUGGCUCACACAUGGAAUCCCAGCACUUUGGGAGGCUGAGGCAGACAGGGCCAAUAUAAUAUAAUGAAACCCCAUCUCUACUAUAAAAACAAACAUUAGCCGGGCAUGGUGGCAGGCACCUAUGGUCACAGCUAGUUGGAAGGCUGAGGCAGGAGAAUUGCUUGAACCCAGGAAGGUGAGGUUGCAGUGAGCCAAGGUCAUGCCACUGCACUCCAGCCUGGGUGACAGAGCAAGAAUCUGUCCAAAACCAAAGACAAAAACCCACUUCUCUUUCUACAACCAUCCUCUAUGCUUUAUUUGGGGGUCAGUGACUUACUUGAUCACUGUUUGAUAGCUGGUUUUCUAACACCACCAAGUGAAUAAAAGACCUGUGCAGUCAGGACCCAGUAUGAUCUGAUCCUCAUGAUGGUUUUUUUUCCCUCUCACUGCAGGAAAAUGCUACAGGUGAAUAUCACCACAGUACGUAUUCCUUUUUUAACAUAGCGUCAUUACGAUGUAGUUGACAUGCAACCCAAUUCACCCAUUUAAAGUGGGUGAUUCAGUGUUUUUACUAUAUUUAUAGGCUAUGUACUCAUGUUACAAUCUAAUUUUAAAACCUUUUCAUUCCUCCUCAAAGAAACCUCAUUAGUAGACACCCCUCUGUUUUUCCCAACCUUGCACCCCUGGUUCUAAGCAUCCCUAAUGUAUUUCUUGUUUCUAUAUACAGUGCCUUUCUGUAUUAACCGGUUCUUAAGGUGACUGUUUCACGUUGAUGAAGUUGCCCUAGCUAGAAGGCCAAGGCUCUUUCAUUUCCUUCUGCCCCUCUCCUUUUCCUUCAACACCAGGAGAAUGGUCCAGCAGCAGCUCAGUCAAUGCUUGUGAACCACCCAGCUCCACACAUUCCAGCCCCUCCACACACACAUUGCCCAAAGCUCCUCGUGAGAUUCCUCAUCAGCACCAAUGCACUGACUGUCACUCUGUGUUCUCCUAGCUCCUGUUGAUGACCCCAGGAGUGUACACCUGUCAGUGAGGAGAAGGAGGUGGCCUCUGACAUGGUAACAUCCAUUUCUUUGUCUGGAAAUUUUUUUUUUCUGGGGAUUCUAGACUAUAAAGUGAAUAUGAUUUUGACUGCCAUCAUAAAUUAGGC
ensembl:lncRNA